rnacentral:rRNA from 1 species
CUCAGAUUGAACGCUGGCGGCAUGCCUUACACAUGCAAGUCGAACGGUACGGGCCUUCGGGUGCCGACGAGUGGCGAACGGGUGAGUAAUGCAUCGGAACGUACCUUUCAGUGGGGAUAACGUAGCGAAAGUUACGCUAAUACCGCAUAUUCUGUGAGCAGGAAAGCAGGGGAUCGCAAGACCUUGCGCUGAUUGAGCGGCCGAUGUCAGAUUAGCUAGUUGGUGAGGUAAAGGCUCACCAAGGCGACGAUCUGUAGCGGGUCUGAGAGGAUGAUCCGCCACACUGGAACUGAGACACGGUCCAGACUCCUACGGGAGGCAGCAGUGGGGAAUUUUGGACAAUGGGGGCAACCCUGAUCCAGCCAUGCCGCGUGAGUGAAGAAGGCCUUCGGGUUGUAAAGCUCUUUCGGCCGGGAAGAAAUCGCAUGGGUUAAUACCCUGUGCGGAUGACGGUACCGGCAUAAGAAGCACCGGCUAACUACGUG